rnacentral:rRNA from 1 species
GAGUUUGAUCCUGGCUCAGAACGAACGCUGGCGGCGUGCUUAACACAUGCAAGUCAGGGAGAAAGUCUCUUCGGGGAUGAUUAAACCGGCGCACGGGUGAGUAACACGUGAGUGACCUGCCUUUUAGACUAGAACAACUUACCGAAAGGUGAGCUAAUGCCGGAUGAGUUAUAUAAGUGCAUGUUUAUAUAGGAAAAGUUGGGGAGACCUGACGCUGAAAGAUGGACUCGCGUCCCAUUAGCUAGUUGGUAGGGUAAUGGCCUACCAAGGCGACGAUGGGUAGCCGGCCUGAGAGGGUGGCCGGCCACACUGGGACUGAGACACGGCCCAGACUCCUACGGGAGGCAGCAGUGGGGAAUUUUGCGCAAUGCUCGUAAGAGUGACGCAGCGACGCCGCGUGAAUGACGAAGGCCUUCGGGUCGUAAAGUUCUUUCGACAGGGAAGAAAAUGCCUAUAAGUAACUGUGUAUGUAUUGACGGUACCUGUAUAAGCAGCCCCGGCUAACUCCAUGCCAGCAGCCGCGGUAAUACGGAGGGGGCGAGCGUUGUUCGGAGUGACUGGGCGUAAAGAGCACGUAGGCGGUGUUGUAAGUCAUUAGUCAAAGACUAGAGCUCAACUUUAGUAAGGCUAGUGAUACUAUAAUACUAGAGUAUCAGAGAGGAUUGCAGAAUUCCUGGUGUAGCGGUGAAAUGC